UACAGAGGUCUCAAGCGUUGUUCGGAUUCAUUGGGCGUAAAGGGUGUGUAGGUGGCGCCGUAAGUCGGGUGUGAAAUUUCGGAGCUUAACUCCGAAACUGCAUUCGAUACUGCGGUGCUUGAGGACUGGAGAGGAGACUGGAAUUCAUGGUGUAGCAGUGAAAUGCGUAGAUAUCGUAAGGAAGACCAGUGGCGAAGGCGAAUCUCUGGACAGUUACUGACACUGAGGCUCGAAGGCCAGGGGAGCAAACGGG
rnacentral:rRNA from 1 species